rnacentral:rRNA from 1 species
CGACCGGCGCACGGUGCGUAACGCGUAUGCAACCUACCUUUAACAGGGGGAUAACACUGAGAAAUUGGUACUAAUACCCCAUAAUAUCAUAGAAGGCAUCUUUUAUGGUUGAAAAUUCCGAUGGUUAGAGAUGGGCAUGCGUUGUAUUAGCUAGUUGGUGGGGUAACGGCUCACCAAGGCGACGAUACAUAGGGGGACUGAGAGGUUAACCCCCACACUGGUACUGAGACACGGACCAG